UACAGUUUAGCCUAGUAAAACUAUAGUAC
rnacentral:sRNA from 1 species